UACGGAGGGUGCAAACGUUGCUCGGAAUCAUUGGGCGUAAAGCGCACGUAGGCGGCCUGUUAAGUCGGAUGUGAAAGCCCCGGGCUCAACCCGGGAAGUGCAUUCGAAACUGGCGGGCUUGAAUAUGGAAGAGGGUCGCGGAAUUCCCGGUGUAGAGGUGAAAUUCGUAGAUAUCGGGGAGGAACACCAGUGGCGAAGGCGGCGCCUGGGCCAAUAUUGACGCUGAGGUGCGAAAAGCGUGGGGAGCAAACAGGG
rnacentral:rRNA from 1 species